GAUGAACUCUGGCGGCGUGCCUAAUACAUGCAAGUCGAGCGAAUGGAUUAAGAGCUUGCUCUUAUGAAGUUAGCGGCGGACGGGUGAGUGACACGUGGGUAACUUGCCCAUAAGACUGGGAUAACUCCGGGAAACGGGGUCUAAUACCGGAUAACAUUUUGAACCGCACGGUUAGAAAUUGAAAGGCGGCUUCGGCUGUCCCUUAUGGAUGGACCCGCGUCGCAUUAGCUAGUUGGUGAGGUAGCGGCUCACAAAGGCAAAGAUGCGUAGCCGACCUGGGAGGGUGAUCGGCCACACCGGGACUGAGACACGGACCAGACUCCUACGGGAGGCAGCAGUAGGGAAUCUUCCGCAAUGGACGAAAGUCUGACGGAGCAACGCCGCGUGAGUGAUGAAGGCUUUCGGGUCGUAAAACUCUGUUGUUAGGGAAGAACAAGUGCUAGUUGAAUAAGCUGACACCUUGACGGUACCUAACCAGAAAGCCACGGCUAACUACGUGCCAGCAGCCGCCGUAA
rnacentral:rRNA from 1 species